GACAGAGGGUGCAAACGUUGUUCGGAUUUACUGGGCGUAAAGCGAGUGUAGGCGGACUAAUAAGUCAGGUGUGAAAGCCCUGGGCUCAACCUAGGAAGUGCACUUGAAACUGUCAGUCUUGAGUAUUGGAGAGGUUGGUGGAAUUCUUGGUGUAGAGGUGAAAUUCGUAGAUAUCAAGAGGAACAUCGGUGGCGAAGGCGGCCAACUGGACAAUUACUGACGCUGAGACUCGAAAGUGUGGGGAGCAAACAGG
rnacentral:rRNA from 1 species